rnacentral:rRNA from 1 species
UCAGACGAUGCGUCAUGCAUAUCAAUAAGCGGAGGAAAAGAAACUAACAAGGAUUCCCUCAGUAACGGCGAGUGAAGCGGGAAGAGCUCAAAUUUGAAAUCUUCAAGGUUUUACCUUGACGAAUUGUAGUUUAAAGAAGUGUUUUCUGCUGAAGUUUUGGUAAAAGUUCUUUGGAAUAGGACAUCAUAGAGGGUGAGAAUCCCGUAUUUGACCAUUAUUUUCAGCUUUGUGAUACACUUUCAAAGAGUCGGAUUGUUUGGGAAUGCAGUCCAAAAUGGGUGGUAAAUUUCAUCUAAAGCUAAAUAUUGGCGAGAGACCGAUAGCGAACAAGUACCGUGAGGGAAAGAUGAAAAGAACUUUGAAAAGAGAGUUAAACAGUACGUGAAAUUGUCAAAAGGGAAGCGUUUGACACCAGUGUUGUUUUUCUGAAAAUCAACCUCUGUUAGCUUUAUGCAUGUUUGUUUAGACCUAAUCAGCUAUCUUGCAUGUUCUAUUGUUUGCAGUGGUGCACUUUUCAGUUUACAGGUCAACAUCAGUUUUUUUUACCGUAAAAAAGUUAAAGAAAGGUAGCUCAUGGCUCCGGUCGUGAGUGUUAUAGUCUUUUUCCUAUGCGGUAGGAGAGACUGAGGUCUGCAGUGUAGGCUAUUUGGCUAGAUACUCAGGUGCUAUGGGAUACCAUUUCAUAAACAACUUGUUGAUUAUGUUUUGUCUAUUGCAUACUCGCUUGUACUAUCAUACCUACGCUUAGGAUGUUGACUGAUAUGUAGUCGUA